AUUUCAUUUCUUCAAUUUUUAUUUAUCAUUUUCACAAGGAGGAGCGUCGCCCUUCAAAUACUGUUUUAAUGACCUUUCAUGCUGAGAGCAUUGAAUAUUUGAUGUGCAGAUUUUAUAUCAUCUAUGAUAAUGUAUAACAGGUCAGAGGUCAUCCAAUAUGGACUGACCACCUAAAUCUUGCUAAAGAUUCCAUUAUAAAGCAGUGUGAAGGAGGUUUUUGUACGACGCUUUCACUAGAAUGAAGCACUGUGGUGGACCUUUGGUGGAGGAACUAAACUUGUAAUCGCUCAUCCGGCAGUGAAUCCCUCCGUGUCUCUGCUGCCUCCCUCUUCUCUGCAGAUCUCUGGAGACUCAGCCGCACUGCUCUGUCUGCUCAGCUCUUACGCUCCACAGGGGGCGCAGGUGAGCUGGACGCUGGACGGGUCAGAGGUCACCGAGGGGGUUCAGACCAGCGAAGAGAGCGAGCGGGACGGACUCUACAGCCUCAGCAGCGUCCUGAGCCUCAGCAAAGCACGCUGGGAAGCCGGCGAGCGCUUCGUCUGCAGAGUAACACAUGACGGAGCUGCUCGGGAGACCACGUUCCUCAUGAGCUCCGAGUGCUGAUGUUUCUCCAGUGAAGAGCAGCAGGAUUCACAGCAGUCUCCUGAUUUACAGCUCAAUACUCAAGCAGUCUUUCAAUGUGCUGCCAUUGCUGUUCAUUCAAUAAAGCUUCUGAACGCCUUC